CCUACGGGUGGCAGCAGUCGAGAAUUUUUCACAAUGGGGGAAACCCUGAUGCUGCGACGCCGCGUGAGGGAAUGAAGGUCUGCGGAGUGUAGACCUCUGUCAUGUGGGAGCAAAUUACAAUGAUAGUACCACAAGCGGAAGAGACGUCUAACUCUGUGGCAGCAGCCGCGGGAAUACAGAGGGCUCAAGCGUUGUUCGGAAUCACUGGGCGUAAAGCGUGCGGAGGCUGUUUCGUAAGUCUGGUGUGAAAGGCGCGGGCUCAACCCGCGGCCGGCACAUGAUACUGGGAGACGAGAGUAAUGGAGGGGGAACCGGAAUUCUCGGUGUAGCAGUGAAAUGCGUAGAUAUCGAGAGGAACACUCGUGGCGAAGGCGGGUUCCUGGACAUUAACUGACGCUGAGGCACGAAGGCCAGGGGAGCGAAAGGGAUUAGAUACCCGAGUAGUC
rnacentral:rRNA from 1 species